UACAGAGGGUGCAAGCGUUGUUCGGAAUUACUGGGCGUAAAGGGCGCGUAGGCGGCCUUCUAAGUCGAACGUGAAAUCCCCGGGCUCAACCCGGGAACUGCGUCCGAGACUGGAAGGCUCGAAUCCGGGAGAGGGAUGUGGAAUUCCAGGUGUAGCGGUGAAAUGCGUAGAUAUCUGGAGGAACAUCGGUGGCGAAGGCGGCAUCCUGGACCGGUAUUGACGCUGAGGCGCGAAAGCCAGGGGAGCAAACGGG
rnacentral:rRNA from 1 species